GGCGCUAAUGCAUGCUUUAAUCACUAGUUACAUAGACUAUUGUAAUGCUCUGCUUUCUGCUCUUCCUAAAAAGAGUAUUUUGGCUCUUUAAUUACUACAAAAUUCAGCUGCAUAUGUCCUGACGAAGACCAGAAGAUGGGCCCACAUUACACCUGUUUGAAGGUCAGUGCAUUGGCUCUCCAUGUGUUUCAGGAUUGAUUUUAAAGUUCUUUUACUAGUUUAUAAAUGCCUUAAUGGUUCUGGGCCUUCUUAUUGAUUUGGUCUGUUUU